CCUUCCCUCUCGGCUCUUGCAUUCACCUGCUCCAAGCUGUUCCUUCAGCCGGGUCUGGUCCUUGGUGUCUGGUGCCUGCACAACAGGGACAGGACAUGGAGUUAGCGUGGUGUGACAGCUUCUGAGCCCUGGCCUUUCCUGGACUUGCCUACUUCUUGGAAAGAUAUUUUAAUCUAGUCUUCUGAACUGCCAAUUUGAAGCAUGUCAUGGAGCCAGCCUUCUUACUGUAAGUGGAGAACUGGGCCAGCACCAUAGAAUUGAAUACUGGAUCACAAGUAGAGCUGGAAACUCACAAGGCCAAGAUUUCCAGGAAGCCACAGAUACAAUAUCCAACCCCACUUCUACCCACAAACUCCUCCACACCCCUCCUUUGGGGAAAGAAAUUUGAAAGAACCUUGACUGAAGAGUCUAAAAGCUUGAAGCAAGGCACCUUGUCCAGUCUGGGAUAAAGGAAAGCAAAGGCGGGUCAAGAACAUAUGUCCAAUACAGCUUUCCUGUCACCAUUGUCAAGGCAUUCAGCAAGCUCUGAGGCUCACAUGUUUCAACACUUGGCUCCAAGCUUACAGUGCUGAUUGGGAAUGUUGUGGAACUUUCAGGAACUGGAGCAUUAGAACCCAUCAAGAGCCUCCUGGCAUUGAAGAUAGCUGUCUGUGAACAAGAAGCAGUUUCUCAAAGGACAAUGAAUUUUCAGGAUCUUGAUCUUAAGCUUUCUGCCUGCAGACCUGUGAGGAAUAAAUUUUAGUUGCUAAUAAUCCAUCAA